rnacentral:rRNA from 2 species
CGCGUAGGCGGCCUGCUAAGUCAGGUGUGAAAACUUAAGGCUCAACCUUAAGAUGGCAUUUGAAACUGACAGGCUUGAGGGCAGGAGAGGAGAGCGGAAUUCCUAGUGUAGCAGUGAAAUGCGUAGAUAUUAGGAGGAACACCAGUGGCGAAGGCGGCUCUCUGGACUGAACCUGACGCUGAGGUGCGAAAGCCAGGGGAGCAAACG